rnacentral:snRNA from 1 species
GGAUGUGAGGGUGAUCUGGCUGCAAUAUCUGUCACCCCAUUGAUCACCAGGGUUGAUUCAACGGAUCUGGCUGGCUAGGUGAGUGCCCCCUUCCACUGCUUCAUGUGAGUCACCCCUGAAGCUGCACACUCGGUCAAAGAGGACGACCAUCCCCGAUAGAGGAGGACCUUUCAUCAGUCAAGGGUAUACAAGUAGCUGCGCUCCCCUGCUAGAACUGCCAAACAAGCUCUCAAGAGAAAUAUCAGUGAAAUACAAUGAUUAGAGCAAAAACCACUAGGAGGGAACUGAAACCCAAAAAGAGAUGAAUUAAUUAAUUGCAUUUAAU